rnacentral:rRNA from 1 species
UGAAAAGCCCCCGGCUCCAACCGGGGAGGGUCAUUUGGAAACUGGGGAACUUUGAGUUGCAGAAGAGGAGAGUGGAAUUUCCACGUGUAGCGGUGAAAUGCGUAGAGAUGUGGAGGAACACCAGUGGCGAAGGCGACUCUCUGGUCUGUAACUGACGCUGAGGAGCGAAAGCGUGGGGAGCGAACAGGAUUAGAUACCCUGGUAGUCCACGCCGUAAACGAUGAGUGCUAAGUGUUAGGGGGUUUCCGCCCCUUAGUGCUGCAGCUAACGCAUUAAGCACUCCGCCUGGGGAGUACGGUCGCAAGACUGAAACUCAAAGGAAUUGACGGGGGCCCGCACAAGCGGUGGAGCAUGUGGUUUAAUUCGAAGCAACGCGAAGAACCUUACCAGGUCUUGACAUCCUCUGACAAUCCUAGAGAUAGGACGUCCCCUUCGGGGGCAGAGUGACAGGUGGUGCAUGGUUGUCGUCAGCUCGUGUCGUGAGAUGUUGGGUUAAGUCCCGCAACGAGCGCAACCCUUGAUCUUAGUUGCCAGCAUUCAGUUGGGCACUCUAAGGUGACUGCCGGUGACAAACCGGAGGAAGGUGGGGAUGACGUCAAAUCAUCAUGCCCCUUAUGACCUGGGCUACACACGUGCUACAAUGGACAGAACAAAGGGCAGCGAAACCGCGAGGUUAAGCCAAUCCCACAAAUCU